rnacentral:rRNA from 1 species
UACGUAGGGCGCAAGCGUUGUCCGGAAUUAUUGGGCGUAAAGAGCUCGUAGGUGGCUUGUUGCGUCUGCCGUGAAAGCCCGUGGCUUAACUGCGGGUCUGCGGUGGAUACGGGCAGGCUAGAGGCUGGUAGGGGCAAGCGGAAUUCCUGGUGUAGCGGUGAAAUGCGCAGAUAUCAGGAGGAACACCGGUGGCGAAGGCGGCUUGCUGGGCCAGUUCUGACGCUGAGGAGCGAAAGCGUGGGGAGCGAAUGGG